UCUGUGUGAAUUGCAGAAUCCCGUGAACCAUCGAGUUUUUGAACGCAAGUUGCGCCCGAAGCCUUUUGGCCGAGGGCACGUCUGCCUGGGCGUCA
rnacentral:rRNA from 1 species